rnacentral:misc_RNA from 1 species
GAUGAGAACGUAGCGAAAUGCGAUAAGUAGUGUGAAUUGCAGAAUUCAGUGAAUCAUCGAAUCUUUGAACGCACAUUGCGCCCCUCGGUAUUCCGUGGGGCAUGCCUGUUCGAGCGUCAUUUAACCCCUCAAGCCUAGCUUGGUAUUGGGUGCUUGUCCCGCCUCUCGCGCGGCGACUCACCUCAAAGUCAUUGGCAGCCCGCAUCUCGCCGGCCGUGAGCGCAGCACAGACGCGCUCUUGGCAACGACGGAUCGGCUCUCCAAAAGCUUAUUUCAACCACUGACCUCGGAUCAGGUAGGGAUACCCGCUGAACUUAAGCAUAUCAAUAAGCGGAGGA